GGACGAACGCUGGCGGCGUGCUUAACACAUGCAAGUCGAGCGGAAAGGCCCUUCGGGGUACUCGAGCGGCGAACGGGUGAGUAACACGUGAGCAACCUGCCCCGGACUUUGGAAUAACCCUCGGAAACGGGGGCUAAUGCCAAAUAUUACUGACCUUCGCAUGGGGGUUGGUGGAAAGUUUUUCGGUCUGGGAUGGGCUCGCGGCCUAUCAGCUUGUUGGUGGGGUAAUGGCCUACCAAGGCGAGGACGGGUAGCCGGCCUGAGAGGGCGACCGGCCACACUGGGACUGAGACACGGCCCAGACUCCUACGGGAGGCAGCAGUGGGGAAUAUUGCACAAUGGGCGGAAGCCUGAUGCAGCGACGCCGCGUGAGGGAUGACGGCCUUCGGGUUGUAAACCUCUUUCAGCAGGGACGAAGCGCAAGUGACGGUACCUGCAGAAGAAGCGCCGGCCAACUACGUGCCAGCAGCCGCGGUAAGACGUAGGGCGCGAGCGUUGUCCGGAUUUAUUGGGCGUAAAGAGCUCGUAGGCGGCUUGUCGCGUCGACUGUGAAAACCCGCGGCUCAACCGCGGGCCUGCAGCCGAUACGGGCAGGCUAGAGUUCGGUAGGGGAGACUGGAAUUCCUGGUGUAGCGGUGAAAUGCGCAGAUAUCAGGAGGAACACCGGUGGCGAAGGCGGGUCUCUGGGCCGAUACUGACGCUGAGGAGCGAAAGCGUGGGGAGCGAACAGGAUUAGAUACCCUGGUAGUCCACGCUGUAAACGUUGGGCGCUAGGUGUGGGGAACCUCUCCGGUUUUCUGCGCCGCAGCUAACG
rnacentral:rRNA from 1 species